UACGUAGGUGGCAAGCGUUGUCCGGAUUUACUGGGCGUAAAGGAUGCGUAGGCGGAUAUUUAAGUGGGGUGUGAAAUACCCGAGCUCAACUUGGGUGCUGCAUUCCAAACUGGAUAUCUAGAGUGCGGGAGAGGUAAGUGGAAUUCCUAGUGUAGCGGUGAAAUGCGUAGAGAUUAGGAAGAACACCAGUGGCGAAGGCGACUUACUGGACCGUAACUGACGCUGAGGCAUGAAAGCGUGGGGAGCAAACAGG
rnacentral:rRNA from 1 species